GUGGCAUGAGACUCAAUGCUCUUUGACUCAAUUGGACUCAAAGUUAGCAUAAUAUAAAGUAAAUCUGAAAUUUUUGGAUGCAUCGACGGGGGCAUUCGAUUCCUGGGCACCCAACCGGGCCGCCGCACGCAGGAAGGAAGAGCAGCAUCAGCCGGGACGAGGGUGGGGAUGGAGAACACGGCGUCCAUCUAGCGGAGCCUCCGUCCAUCCCUCACCCCUGAUGCCGCCGUCCUUCCUCCUCCCCAUCGGGGCCAGGCAGAGGAGGAGGAGCGCCGGCCACGAGCACGAUGAGGAGGCGACCGACAUCACUGUGCGUCGCCCGGCCAAGGUCUUCUCCCGCUGCUCUGGGUCGCGCGCCGCCUCUGCCGCCGACAGGAGGGGGCCGCGGCAACCGCCACGCAUCCCGGCGACCAGGGGCCCCCCGGCGUGGUUCCCUCAACGGAGGGAUGCUUCCUCCGUCCACUGCCUGCUCCGUGCCGACACCAUCAGUAGCGGCGGCGGUCGGGCUGAUGCGGACUCCGCGCCACCACUGACGGCUUCGCCACGGACCGCAUCGUCUCCGACCAUGGCGAAAAGGCGCCCAGCGUCGUCUACAGCGGCACCCUCUUCGGCCCUGACCUAGUCACCGGGAUGCUCAUCGCGCUCGUUGGAUUCGGGCUCUACAAGCUUCGAUUCCCAAGUGUCAUGAAAUGUAUCAAAAUCGGUCUUCCAGAGAUCAUACUGCUGGUAGCUCUUUCCCAGUACAUACCUCAUCCGGUGCCUUUGCUGGGCACUGCCUUUGAGGGGUUCGCCGUCAUAAUGUCCGUUGCUGUCUUGUGGAUUUACGCGUUCUUCCUGACGGUUGGCAGGGCGUAUAAGAAUGUUGCUCCACCUGACCAUCCCGAUACUGCAGGAGUGAUCGGUACAGCCAAUGCAUCGCUACUGGAGUACUGGCCCUUUUGGUGUGAGUAUGGCUGGAUUAUUUGCUUCUUUCAUGAUGAAGAAAUGGUCAUAGCCAUGGGAGUUUCCUCUUGGCGAUGAUAGCCGGUUCAUGUUGUACGGCUUGGUUGAGCUCAAGGUCAAUGGAUACGGCAAUUGUCAGCUAUUUUGUGUUUCUGGUUCUAUAUAUAUACUGGUUGGAUGUUGACAAACAAUUUCCAUGCCUUCUUUUUCAAUGGGUGUAUGCUCAGCCAGGGUUAGAAGCAGUGGUCAUCCUCGACCUCACGCCGCCCAUCUAGACAGAAGAAGAUGGGUGCUGCGGGCGACGAGGCUGACGCGCCAUCGUCCUGUCUUCUGUGAGGGGAUCCAUCAUGAGGAACCAGCGGACGUGAUAUGGGUACCCGAUCCUUACUGCGGAAUCACCUCUUCUUGUGGAUGGUUGCUGAACAGCAACAGUUCCAUCUCCAUCCCCAACGCAUCCUUGCCUCAUCUUGAUCUGCAAUGAACCAGAGCUCAUAGAAAGAGAUUUGAUGUGAUGAUUGAGGUGGAAGGCUACCUUAACCUAUGGAUCAAAGGUCGUCGGUGCUUUGUUGGUUGCUGGAUUUUCCUUAUCUGCCGGCAGACCGCACCGGAGGCCGCCGCCAUAUAGGGGCUGAUGAGGGCAUCGUGAUGAGGUGAGCCUCCUUCAGCCAGUGCGGCUCCCCUUCGUGGUGCCGAUUCGUCUUAGCCUCUCUCUCUCUCACACACACACACACACACAGAGAUGCUCCUUCCAUCUCCCGUCGUGCAGGUUGCCGCUUUUGCCAUAGCAGAGGGGAUCCAGCCGGCACGCUGCGUCUCCCAUAAACAUGCCUAAUUUAUAUGCAGAGGUAGCAUUGAUCUACUUGCCCCCUUCAAAAGGCCAUAUGUGUUGCUUUGUUUUACUUCUCUUUCAUAUCCAGUUAUUUAGAAAUUCCCUGCUAACCUCCUGGCACUUAAAUACGAUUAGGUAUAAUGUGAAGCAUUUGCUUGACAGAGGUACCUAUUGCUGGAUCAUUUAUGUUGCUAUAUGUUGCAGGAAUGUAUCCAUGAACUGGGAAACAUGUGAACUCUUUGUUGAUACGCCUUUUAUGUGUUGCUUUUGGUCUUGAUAGAGGUACUUGAGCCUCUUACAUGCUCUUGUGUGCAAUUUUUUAAUUCUAAAAUAGUACAUUCAAUUGAAGGCUAGAGAAGAUUUAGUGGUUAUAUCAUGAGUCACUACAAGCGCCUAUUUAUUGAAACAUUUUCCCAGUUGUUUCACUACAAGCGCCUAUUUAUUGAAACAUUUUUCCCAGUUGUUUCACUACAAGCGCCUAUUUAUUGAAUCAUUUUCUUCAAACUUGCACCAGUAAAUAUUUGUAGCUCUUCACGUUGUCUAAUCAACAUGUUAGUUUUGAAUGCUUUGGUGAAACCUAAGCAGUAAACUCAUGGCCACACUCUCUCAAAUGGUGAAACCACUUCUUAUGUAACCACCACUCUUGUUAUCGAGGUUCCAAAUGGUUUUGCCUAUAUUUUUUUAUGUUGGUACUUCUUAUGUCAAGGUAAUAGAUUGUGACCUCCAUUUUGGUUCAGGUUAGGCUUUAAUAUUUGUGAGUCAAUUAUAGGUGUCGAUUACAUUGGUAAGAUAGAAGCCAAUUAUGAAGUCUUUCUGUUUAGAUAUGUAGAUGUAGUCUUUCUGUUUGUGUAUAAGAUAAUUGCUUUAUCUAUUUAGUCGAUCCUUGUUGUUUUUUGAAAAUAGAUAGUGUCCAUGAUGGAGUUGAAGUUACUGUGAUAAUUGGUUCAUCAAUUUAGCUAAUCCUUACUAUUCAGUAAAAAAAGUUGGUCCUUUUGAUUCCUGGUACCAAUUUGUUUGUCCUGUAGAGUGAGUACAUGAAGGAAAAUACUUACCAAAACCUUUAUUUUGCUGGCAUGUGAUAUUUUUUCUUGAAAGACAUGUGAUAUUUAUCUGUUGAUGCAUGUGUCUUAUGUUGUUUACUUGUCAGUAACCUCUAUGGAGUAUUUAGGCAAUAUGUUGCUUAUAAGAAUGUAAUCAAAUUAUUAAUUUGCUCCAUUCUAGGGAGGAUGAAAUCUGAUUAUUAACUUAUUUCAUUUCAGGGAGAUACAUUGACAGGAAGUGCUCACUCGCUAAAAUUUUUUCUAUCAGGGGCAUAAUUAUUGUUGAAACACGCACCGUGUGAAGAUGAAUAUGAACCUUUCAUAAUUAUUCCCAAACAUGCCACUAUGUCAUCAUUGGCCAGUGCAGGUAUUGCUCUCUAGCUGAUAUAUUGUUUAGUUCUUCUUGGUUUCAAUUAUGUUGGCCCUCCUUAAGAUUGUUUGGGAAUGUGAGGCUUUAAAGUUUCAACCUUGUGCAAGGCUCCAAAGCUUUACCAGUUUUCCACUUGCUUCAAAUGAAUUUGUCACUGAAGAAACCAUGAAUUCUUUUGUUUUCUUUUUGACCUACACAUAACCUUUCAUGGGAAGAUAGUGUGUCAUUUCCCCAUUAGGGUUGGAGUACUUGAUGUAUGUGUUGUAUUAGUGACGUGGUCGUAACAAGCAACCAUAAAUAUUGUUUUUGAUUUCCUUGGAUGAAGACACGUUUAUGUGACAACCAUAUGUUUACUAAUACAUAGUGGUGUUUCGGAAACUGGUGGUUACUUUUGUUUGUUGACAACCAAUUACUGUGAUUCCAGGAACUCUUAGAUUAUACAAGUCCCUAUGUUUGUUUGGAUUCAUGAACCAUGGGACUAGACUUUCAUUCGAUGCCACUAGCUCCUGUGAUGCACCGUGUAAACUACCAUGUGAUCUCCCUCUUCUUUUGUGAAUGCGUCCCUUUUGUCACAUCUAUCCAUCCUUUUGUACUUGAUAUCUACCGUGUAUGAACAAUUGUAUCCUUUAAUUUACCAUGUAUAUGAACAUUGCAUCCUCAAA